AGUGAACGCUGGCGGUAGGCCUAACACAUGCGAGUCGAACGGCAGCACAGUAAGAGCUUGCUCUUACGGGUGGCGAGUGGCGGACGGGUGAGGAAUACAUCGGAAUCUACUUUUUCGUGGGGGAUAACGUAGGGAAACUUACGCUAAUACCGCAUACGACCUACGGGUGAAAGCAGUGGAUCUUCGGACCUUGCGCGAUUGAAUGAGCCGAUGUCGGAUUAGCUAGUUGGCGGGGUAAAGGCCCACCAAGGCGACGAUCCGUAGCUGGUCUGAGAGGAUGAUAAGCCACACUGGAACUGAGCCACGGUCCAGAGUCCUAAGGGACGCAGCAGUGUGGAAUAUUGGACAAUGGGCGCGAGCCUGAUCCAGCCAUACCGCGUGGGUGAAGACGGCCUUCGGGUUGUAAAGCCCUUUUGUUGGGAAAGAAACGCAGCCGGUUAAUACCCCGCUGUUCUGACGGUACCCAAUGAAUAAGCACCGGCUAACUUCGUG
rnacentral:rRNA from 1 species